rnacentral:rRNA from 1 species
UAGGGAAUCUUCGGCAAUGGGGGCAACCCUGACCGAGCAACGCCGCGUGAGUGAAGCAGGUUUUCGGAUCGUAAAGCUCUGUUGUAAGAGAAGAACGUGUGUGAGAGUGGAAAGUUCACACAGUGACGGUAACUUACCAGAAAGGGACGGCUAACUACGUGCCAGCAGCCGCGGUAAUACGUAGGUCCCGAGCGUUGUCCGGAUUUAUUGGGCGUAAAGCGAGCGCAGGCGGUUUAAUAAGUCUGAAGUUAAAGGCAGUGGCUUAACCAUUGUUCGCUUUGGAAACUGUUAAACUUGAGUGCAGAAGGGGAGAGUGGAAUUCCAUGUGUAGCGGUGAAAUGCGUAGAUAUAUGGAGGAACACCGGUGGCGAAAGCGGCGAUCUGGUCUGUAACUGACGCUGAGGCUCGAAAGCGUGGGGAGCAAACAGG